GCACAGGGCGCGUUCGAGCAGCGGCGACAGAGGCGGCGAAGGAGCGCGCCAUGGAGCAUGUGACGGAAGGCUCCUGGGAGUCGCUGCCUGUGCCGCUGCACCCGCAGGUGCUGGGCGCGCUGCGGGAGCUGGGCUUCCCGUACAUGACGCCGGUGCAGUCCGCAACCAUCCCUCUGUUCAUGCGAAACAAAGAUGUCGCUGCAGAAGCGGUGAGUGCCUCGGGUAUAUGCAGCCUGUCCUCGUGUUCUCCCUCAAAUGAACUCUGAGGAAGAAAGGGAAACCAAAACUCUCUGUUUGCAGGUCACAGGUAGUGGCAAAACACUCGCUUUUGUCAUCCCCAUCCUGGAAAUUCUUCUGAGAAGAGAAGAGAAGUUAAAAAAGAGUCAGCCAGAUUCUUUGGAUCGGAGGCAGGAAUCCUGGAGAAGAUGUUGAGAGGUUUAAGCAACAAGG
rnacentral:sRNA from 1 species